CCUACGGGUGGCUGCAGUGAGGAAUAUUGGUCAAUGGACGAGAGUCUGAACCAGCCAAGUAGCGUGAAGGAUGAAUGCCCUAUGGGUUGUAAACUUCUUUUAUAUGGGAAUAAAAUGUUCCUCGUGUGGGAUUGUGUAUGUACCAUAUGAAUAAGGAUCGGCUAACUACGUGCCAGCGGCCGCGGUAAUACGGAGGAUCCGAGCGUUAUCCGGAUGUAUUGGGUUUAACGGGAGCGUAGGUGGAUUGUUAAGUCAGUUGUGAAAGUUUGCGGCUCAACCGUAAAAUUGCAGUUGAAACUGGCAGUCUUGAGUGCGGGAGAGGUGAGCGGAAUUCGUGGUGUAGCGGUGAAAUGCUUAGAUAUCACGAAGAACACCAGUUGCGAAGGCGGCUAACUGGACUGCAACUGACACUGAGGCUCGAAAGUGUGGGUAGCAAACAGGAUUAGAUACCCGGGUAGUC
rnacentral:rRNA from 1 species